rnacentral:rRNA from 1 species
AAUCUUCCACAAUGGGCGCAAGCCUGAUGGAGCAACACCGCGUGAGUGAAGAGGGGUUUCGGCUCGUAAAACUCUGUUGUUGAAGAAGAACGUGCGUGAGAGUAACUGUUCACGCAGUGACGGUAUUCAACCAGAAAGUCACGGCUAACUACGUGCCAGCAGCCGCGGUAAUACGUAGGUGGCAAGCGUUAUCCGGAUUUAUUGGGCGUAAAGCGAGCGCGGGCGGUUACUUAAGUCUGAUGUGAAAGCCUUCGGCUUAACCGAAGAAGUGCAUCGGAAACUGAGUGACUUGAGUGCAGAAGAGGACAGUGGAACUCCAUGUGUAGCGGUGGAAUGCGUAGAUAUAUGGAAGAACACCAGUGGCGAAGGCGGCUGUCUGGUCUGCAACUGACGCUGAGGCUCGAAAGCAUGGGUAGCGAACA